AUACGGAGGAUCCGAGUGUUAUCCGGAUUUAUUGGGUUUAAAGGGUGCGCAGGCGGACUCGUCAAGUCAGCGGUAAAAAUUCGGGGCUCAACCCCGUCCUGCCGUUGAAACUGCGAGACUGGAGUGCGACAGAGGAAGGCGGAAUGCGAGGUGUAGCGGUGAAAUGCAUAGAUAUCGCGCAGAACUCCGAUUGCGAAGGCAGCCUUCCAUGUCGUGACUGACGCUGAGGCACGAAAGCGUGGGGAUC
rnacentral:rRNA from 1 species